GAUGAACGCUGGCGGCGUGCCUAAUACAUGCAAGUCGAGCGAACGGACGAGAAGCUUGCUUCUCUGAUGUUAGCGGCGGACGGGUGAGUAACACGUGGAUAACCUACCUAUAAGACUGGGAUAACUUCGGGAAACCGGAGCUAAUACCGGAUGAUAUUUUGAACCGCAUGGUUCAAAAGUGAAAGACGGUCUUGCUGUCACUUAUAGAUGGAUCCGCGCUGCAUUAGCUAGUUGGUAAGGUAACGGCUUACCAAGGCAACGAUGCAUAGCCGACCUGAGAGGGUGAUCGGCCACACUGGAACUGAGACACGGUCCAGACUCCUACGGGCGGCAGCAGUAGGGAAUCUUCCGCAAUGGGCGAAGGCCUGACGGAGCAACGCCGCGUGAGUGAUGAAGGUCUUCGGAUCGUAAAACUCUGUUAUUAGGGAAGAACAUAUGUGUAAGUAACUGUGCACAUCUUGACGGUACCUAAUCAGAAAGCCACGGCUAACUACGUG
rnacentral:rRNA from 1 species